rnacentral:rRNA from 1 species
AUAAUGGGUCAGCGACUUAUAUUCUGUAGCAAGGUUAACCGAAUAGGGGAGCCGAAGGGAAACCGAGUCUUAACUGGGCGUUAAGUUGCAGGGUAUAGACCCGAAACCCGGUGAUCUAGCCAUGGGCAGGUUGAAGGUUGGGUAACACUAACUGGAGGACCGAACCGACUAAUGUUGAAAAAUUAGCGGAUGACUUGUGGCUGGGGGUGAAAGGCCAAUCAAACCGGGAGAUAGCUGGUUCUCCCCGAAAGCUAUUUAGGUAGCGCCUCGUGAAUUCAUCUCCGGGGGUAGAGCACUGUUUCGGCAAGGGGGUCAUCCCGACUUACCAACCCGAUGCAAACUGCGAAUACCGGAGAAUGUUAUCACGGGAGACACACGGCGGGUGCUAACGUCCGUCGUGAAGAGGGAAACAACCCAGACCGCCAGCUAAGGUCCCAAAGUCAUGGUUAAGUGGGAAACGAUGUGGGAAGGCCCAGACAGCCAGGAUGUUGGCUUAGAAGCAGCCAUCAUUUAAAGAAAGCGUAAUAGCUCACUGGUCGAGUCGGCCUGCGCGGAAGAUGUAACGGGGCUAAACCAUGCACCGAAGCUGCGGCAGCGACACUAUGUGUUGUUGGGUAGGGGAGCGUUCUGUAAGCCUGUGAAGGUGUGCUGUGAGGCAUGCUGGAGGUAUCAGAAGUGCGAAUGCUGACAUAAGUAACGAUAAAGCGGGUGAAAAGCCCGCUCGCCGGAAGACCAAGGGUUCCUGUCCAACGUUAAUCGGGGCAGGGUGAGUCGACCCCUAAGGCGAGGCCGAAAGGCGUAGUCGAUGGGAAACAGGUUAAUAUUCCUGUACUUGGUGUUACUGCGAAGGGGGGACGGAGAAGGCUAUGUUGGCCGGGCGACGGUUGUCCCGGUUUAAGCGUGUAGGCUGGUUUUCCAGGCAAAUCCGGAAAAUCAAGGCUGAGGCGUGAUGACGAGGCACUACGGUGCUGAAGCAACAAAUGCCCUGCUUCCAGGAAAAGCCUCUAAGCAUCAGGUAACAUCAAAUCGUACCCCAAACCGACACAGGUGGUCAGGUAGAGAAUACCAAGGCGCUUGAGAGAACUCGGGUGAAGGAACUAGGCAAAAUGGUGCCGUAACUUCGGGAGAAGGCACGCUGAUAUGUAGGUGAAGUCCCUCGCGGAUGGAGCUGAAAUCAGUCGAAGAUACCAGCUGGCUGCAACUGUUUAUUAAAAACACAGCACUGUGCAAACACGAAAGUGGACGUAUACGGUGUGACGCCUGCCCGGUGCCGGAAGGUUAAUUGAUGGGGUCAGCGCAAGCGAAGCUCUUGAUCGAAGCCCCGGUAAACGGCGGCCGUAACUAUAACGGUCCUAAGGUAGCGAAAUUCCUUGUCGGGUAAGUUCCGACCUGCACGAAUGGCGUAAUGAUGGCCAGGCUGUCUCCACCCGAGACUCAGUGAAAUUGAACUCGCUGUGAAGAUGCAGUGUACCCGCGGCAAGACGGAAAGACCCCGUGAACCUUUACUAUAGCUUGACACUGAACAUUGAGCCUUGAUGUGUAGGAUAGGUGGGAGGCUUUGAAGUGUGGACGCCAGUCUGCAUGGAGCCGACCUUGAAAUACCACCCUUUAAUGUUUGAUGUUCUAACGUUGACCCGUGAUCCGGGUUGCGGACAGUGUCUGGUGGGUAGUUUGACUGGGGCGGUCUCCUCCUAAAGAGUAACGGAGGAGCACGAAGGUUGGCUAAUCCUGGUCGGACAUCAGGAGGUUAGUGCAAUGGCAUAAGCCAGCUUGACUGCGAGCGUGACGGCGCGAGCAGGUGCGAAAGCAGGUCAUAGUGAUCCGGUGGUUCUGAAUGGAAGGGCCAUCGCUCAACGGAUAAAAGGUACUCCGGGGAUAACAGGCUGAUACCGCCCAAGAGUUCAUAUCGACGGCGGUGUUUGGCACCUCGAUGUCGGCUCAUCACAUCCUGGGGCUGAAGUAGGUCCCAAGGGUAUGGCUGUUCGCCAUUUAAAGUGGUACGCGAGCUGGGUUUAGAACGUCGUGAGACAGUUCGGUCCCUAUCUGCCGUGGGCGCUGGAGAACUGAGGGGGGCUGCUCCUAGUACGAGAGGACCGGAGUGGACGCAUCACUGGUGUUCGGGUUGUCAUGCCAAUGGCACUGCCCGGUAGCUAAAUGCGGAAGAGAUAAGUGCUGAAAGCAUCUAAGCACGAAACUUGCCCCGAGAUGAGUUCUCCCUGACUCCUUGAGAGUCCUGAAGGAACGUUGAAGACGACGACGUUGAUAGGCCGGGUGUGUAAGCGCAGCGAUGCGUUGAGCUAACCGGUACUAAUGAACCGUGAGG